AUGUACCAAGCGAACACUGCAGUGGCUCCGCGCCGUCCGCGCCUACCUGACGACUCCUCGCUACGUUUUGUUAGCC
rnacentral:sRNA from 1 species